rnacentral:rRNA from 1 species
GGAACCUGGUUGAUCCUGCCAGUAGUCAUAUGCUUGUCUCAAAGAUUAAGCCAUGCAUGUCUAAGUAUAAACAACUUUAUACUGUGAAACUGCGUACAGCUCAUUAUAUCAGUUAUUAUUUAUUUGAUGGUACCUUACCACAUGGAUAACCGUGGUAAUUCUAGAGCUAAUACAUGCGUAAAAUCUCGACUUCC